UAUUUUAAUGAAAUUUUAUGAAUUAAACAGCUCAUAAACAUACUUUAUCACUACAAAAAACACUACAGAACCUUUUUGGCAUAAAGAGUACAACUGAGUCAAGAACCCUAGGUUUUUCUAUAGAAACCCAAUGAACUAAGAGUGUACCCUUAAAAGACAAACCCCAAAUUCAUCUAAAGUGUCUUAGCCCUACACUUGAGUAACAUUUCAAAAUCCUGCUGACAGCAGAGGGCACCAGACUGGCUAUAGUUAGUUCAGAUAAACAUGUUCCACCUUUGGCAUUUGACCAUUUGCUUGUAAAAAUGCUCUCUUGACAGGCUUGUGUGUUCCUUAGAAGUCUCUAAUUGAUUGAAUUGGCUCUGGUCAGCAUAAAUGUGAUAUGUUUUGCGCACUUAUACAUAUGCUCACAGACCCAGGAGAGCUGUAUUUAGGCCAUAGACAUAGUGUAAGAGUGUCAUCAACGCAAUCAUGAGUGUGUGCUAAUGAUUUUGAAGGCCUGAGGCCAUGUUAUGUCGUAAGAGUUAUACUUUACUGCUAGCUUCCUAUCUUUACUAGUCCAAGUUUAGGGUUACAUCAUUGUCACAAUGCUAACAUAAUGUGGAAUAAUACUCAUAAGAAAACAGAUGAGGGGAAUGAUAACUACUUUGAUUUAUUUGACCACAUAAUGAGGUCUUUAUUUAAAUGUCACUGAAACUGACAGAAAGGCUGGUUGUUAUGUGCUACAGAAGAAGUGUGCUAAUAUAUGAGUUGAAUAGCUCGGUAUCAUAUUCUGCCUUGCUGAUUUAAUUAAAUCCACACAGAUAUUGUUUUUUUAUUUUUCAGUUAAUGGCUGGGGAGCAACAAUAAGAGCAGCUCUAUCAUGAAUUGCCCCAAUAUGAAACCAACUAAGUCAUAUAUUUAUACAAGAUCAUCUGCAUUUUUCCAGUAAUUUGUAAGUGACGGAGAUCAGCCCAUCCCCCUUCGACAGCAUGUUCUGAGACAGUGAUGGGCGUAUCUACAGGAGUGAUUUUUCAAAGAUAGCUGUGGUCACUAGCAAAACCCAACGCAAUCAUGUGAGACACUUCUGGGAGGUCAUUAUACCGAUUCAUUCUGAUGACAGACUCUGGCUCAGGCAUUUCAGACUGAUCAAACUAACAUUUGAGAUGCUGUACAAUGAAAUUAGUCCGCUGGUUAGUCCAGUUAUCCAAUUACAUCCAAUGUUGAAGCAAAGUCACGUUAGGUUUUUUUUUUUUUUUUUUUUUGUUUCACAUCAAGGGAUUUAUUCAGUAAAUGUGUUUCCGUUGUAAUUUAUACGCAUUUCUUCUUAUUGGAUAAAAAAUGUCCACCUCACUUGAGUGCGUAAUGUGCAUUUUUAGUAUUUAUACCCAUCUUGGUGUGUCCAUCCAGUAAUUUUUAUUGCAAUUAUCCAAAUAGCUGGAUGGAAACAUAGCUUUUGUUUCACCAAACAAUUUGAGAGUUUGCUGCAUUACUAAUAAGCCCAAAAUAUAUGCAAUCAAUGAAGUCUGAUUCAGAAAUGAAUGACUCUUAUGAUCCAGUCCUUCUUAGUGAAUUAAUACAGCACGACCAGUGAGUGAAAGAUCUUAUGAUCUGGUUCUUUUUAAUGAAUCACAAACAAAUAGUAGAGCAGGUUCUUAAAUAAUCUAAAAUAUGUUGGCACUUUUUUUUUUUUUUUUUUUUUUGGUUCAUGACAGAAUUUUCAUUUUUGGGUGAACUAACCCUUUAACGGUAAGCUAAUCAAUAACUGUACAGGUUCAUAAUCAAUGUUAAUAAUGCAUAAUGUAUAAUAAAUUCUAGAGUAAAGGUAAUGGUAACCCACUAGUAAUGACUCAAGUAUCACUAAAUCCUUCAGAUGUAACUCCCUUGUAAUUACUGAAAUCAUUAAGUAAGUAAGCUUUGGAAGUUUUUGUAAGGUUUUGGAUAGUUAUUCCUUCUGAAGGAUUUGGUAACACUUGAGUCAUUACUGUACAAGCCUACAAGGUGAGUUUUAUUUAAAUUAAUAUGACAUGAUUUGUAUGUAAAUAUACGAUUUUUAGAAAAAGAUUAUGCUUGAAGUUCCACCCCUAUACCUAACCCUCAGCAGGGUUUAAGCAGAAAAUGUAUGAAUGUGAUUGUACAGAUUCAUUAAAUUAGCCACCGGUUCGCCAAAUCGUAAAAUAGUUAGGAACUGCUGUUUUGGUUUCGUGUAUACUGUAUGUGUGUUAAAAUACCUAAAGUGUGUAUGUACGGCUUGCUGAUUGUAUGUGUUUGUAUAGCAACAUUGUUUACUCUGCGUAUGCUUGGCUGCUGUGGGUGGACUGUACAGGGAAAACCCCAGGUGCUAAAACAGGCCACAUACAGUAGGCAGGACAGAGGCUUUAAGUCCUACUGUUACCAUAAUGGUUGCCCCUACAAGGCCUGCAAGACAGAAAUAAAGUCUGAUUGAGACAGUACCGUUGUGACAGCAGCUGUGGACUGCAAGUGUAUAUGUGGAUAUAAAGUACAAGGGGGUGUGUAAGUGGAGCUGUGAAGCAUGACCACGCAACCGCCAGAGGAAGAGUGUCUGAUUUCAUAGGGCACUCUAGGCCUUUCCACCUGACCGUACAGACACAGAAGGAGAACAAGAACAAUGCAAGGACAGACAAGGAUAAUACUUAAAAGCAAGCCAGAGGAAGCUACAGACUCAAAUUAUUUGACCAACAGUAAACUACUUAGAGAUAAGAAAGAAGUCGCCAACUGUUUCCCUUACAGUUUAUUGCAAUUUUGACUCCAACAGAUUCCAUCCACCUAUCAUGAAUUCAAUAUAGAACUUUUAGAGAACAAGACAGAAGAAUUUAGGGUAUGUUUACACAACAACAAUGUACUAAAAACAGAAAAGUUUUUCCUUUGUGUUUUUAGCGUACAGACGACAAUGUUGUCAAAAUGAUUCAUGUUCACAGGGAAAAGGCUGUAUUAUUCAUGCCAGGCCAGUAGUUGGCGAUGUCACUUUGUAAAGAAACACGUAAUACACGUGCGCAUGCAGAAAUUCACGUUUUUGUAGUUUACAAAGAGACAGUAACGUUAUCGUUUUUAAAAACGUACACUUUGAAACUCAUUUUCAAAAGUUUGCGUUUUCAGGCCCCCAAAACAUGAACAGCUAAAACGUACAAGAAAUUUUCAGUUUUUAGUUGAAAACCGUGUUGUGUAAACGGCCCCAAAUAUUUACAUUUGUAAGAAUAAGAAAUAAGAAUUCAAUUUUGAAAAAUAUUUGUUUAAAGUUACGUGUGAGCAAAAGA